GGGGAUUUAGCUCAGUGGUAGAGCACUUGCCUAGCAAGCACAAGGCCCUGGGUUCGGUCCCCAUCUCCA
rfam:Rattus norvegicus chromosome 9, whole genome shotgun sequence.